UUAUACUUAUUAUAUUUGGAGUUAAAAAGAGUUUCAUAUUUACAAUUUUAAAAUCAACUGAAUCGUAAACGAAAGAGGUAUCGCUUAGGUACGAUUUUAUAGCUUACACUAAUGAUUGAUUUAGGUCUCUAACAAUGGUACUAUUCCUUAGAUUAGAAAAGAAAACAUCGUCGUCUAAUACAUGUGUGUGUAUGUAUUACUUUAUCUAGUUAAUUAUGUCAAAUGUAUCUUAGACGCUCCCCGUGUUUUCUUACUUUUCUUCUUGAGGUAAUUUUAUUACAUUUCAUUAGAAUUUAAUGAUAUCUACUUUAUAACAUUUGAAGCUUAAUCUGGUAUUCGUUUAACAAUUGCUAGUAUUAUGUAAUCAACAAAGCUAGUGUAUAUCCUGUAAUUUCAUCAUGUCGUAAUAAAUAACCGUCAUAAAUAUUUUUAAAGUACUAUCUACAAAAACCACCAUUCGAUGAAUUCUCCAUUGUAUGCAUUUUUUCAUACUCAAUCACACACAUGACUUUGAUGGGUCGAGUAUCGAUGGGUAUAUCUUGGACAUCAUAAUGCAUUCAAAUCGUCUAUAUUAAUACUAUCAGAAAAAACUAUAUCUGUCUUAAUUUAAUCAGCAUAGCCUUUUCGUAUCACACUAUCACAAAUAAUUACUUAAUCGUAGUAUAUAGCCCUUAUACGUCACCCACAAACAAAAACCACUGAAAUUAAUUUCGCCGCCUCAGCUCCAGUGCUCGAUAUUCAGUCUUAAUCGGUUGCGGACUUAAUAUUGUUAAUAGCUAUUUCUCAUUAUACUACUCAUAACAUUCAAUCAGUUUAAAAACAUUUCUUGUAUUCAUAACUUUGCUCAGUGCCUGAGAAUGGUUGCAAAACAUUCUUUACUCAACUUGUGUUUUAUAAUAACUGUUAUGUAUAUUAAAACAGUUAUGAUCUUUAUCAUCAAGGAACUCAGUUGUCUAUUGUCUAAUGUGAUGUGUCAAAUCCUAAGCCUAGGCGCAGACCAUCGAUUUUUAGUCGGCCGAUAGUUGGGCCCGAUUCUAAUUUGUAUGAAUCAAUCGUUGUAAUGUGCGCACUUCCAUACAUUCUGAUUAACUGCCCAGCUAAACUAUCGGCCGACAAAAAAUCGGUGUUCUGCGCCUAGGCUUACAGUCGUCUUACAACAAUCCUCUCGAUCAUGUCUAAAUGAGAAAAGUUAGGCAUUGAUAAAAAGUUAUCAACAUGUUUGAUACGAUUUAAAAAAAUCCAUAACACAACAGCACAUUAAAUCAAAAAUAGAGAAAAAUAAAUUAUAUUUAUGUUAGUUAAUAACAAAUCAUGUCUUCCAAUUUCAUGGUUAUAUCGCACAGCUAAAACCUACAAAAGCAGUCACACGAUAUAAUAUAAAAAUAAAGUUUUAAGUAAAACUUUUCUAUAGAAAAAAUAUAGAUAUUCCUAACGUUAAUUGAAUUUCGUCACAAGUAGAUAAAGAGACGAAUCUUUCAAAAUACAUUCUCAAUUCCUUUCAUUCAAAGCAAGAUCCCAUUCCCAAUUGCGAUGGUAUUGCUUAGUAGUUGAUGAUACUUUCUCAAUAUUUGUGGCCAUGACCAUUCACACGUUGCCUAAGGUGUCCUAAGUUUCUUAUGAAUACAAUAUACUUAUGGUAAUGGUAUAAGCAAAAGUUUGUAAACAGCCAAAGUGGGACAACUGCAGUCAAUAAUGGUGCUGCUGGCUCAAUAAUGUUAAUAGAAAAAUAUAUGUUGGCAAUAACUUUACAUAAAAGUUUCACACAGCCACAUUAAUAUCAACUACCAAGAGUUUUUCAAACUAAAGUUCAUUUAAAACCCAUUGAAUUUUUGUUUUAAUUUGGUUUGAGUAAGUUUUCUUUCAGUAUCUGACUGGGAAACUCAUUAAUUCUAUUUUUCAACACAUUAAGUAAGCACAGCAAGGCCACAACUCUUUACUCUAAUGGUUACAUAUUGACAAAAAGUAAAUAAGUUUUCUACUUGCAAUUAGCAAAAGAUCACUACACAAUGGGGCAAAUAUUUUAGAUCAAAAGGCUUUAAACCUAUUUGUUGGCCCUUGACUAGAAAACUGUCAAAACGACAUGUUUGUGGAUGAUCCUGUGGCUUCCAAUUUUAGAUAUUGCUUAAAAUGUUAAUGCUAACACUACAAAAUGUCCUUCAGUUCUGCCUUCUUUUCUGCACGAUCCUCACUUAUCACUUUGUUCAAGAGUCAUUUUGUUCACAGUCACUCUGUCAAGCAAUAACAUCAGACCUGAUCAGUUUAUAAA